rnacentral:lncRNA from 1 species
AAAAUCUACGACCUGGGAAAGGAAAGAGCCAGUUGAGGAAAAGCCCUUUGUCCCUUCUUUGUUUAUAUCUCCAACUUCCCGAUUUUUCCUGUGGCUGUGAUGGCCAGGAUGUGGCAGCCCUCUGGUUAUAACAGUGUCACAAAUCCUUCAUUGAGGCUGCCUUGCAACCCAAGCUCUGCCUCUCUCCAAUCCUCUCUUUCCCUCCCUUCAUAGGUGCAGAUGCUGAGAGCACUUUCUAGUCAAGUCCUGCAUGUUCAUUUCUGUCUCAAGUCAGCUUCUCUGAGAAUCCAAUUUAUAAAAAUAUAUUUGUGAAUGUAUAAGUAAAGUGACUUGGAUUUUGUCUACGUACAAGGACUUCUAUGCCUGCAUAAAACAGUCUGACUGGUUGGAAGAGGCCCUUUUCCCAGCCUUUGUCUUUCAGAGUGACUAACCAUACCAGUUUGACCAAGACUGUAUUGGCUGCAGCACUUAAAAGCUCACAUCCCGGAAAUCCUUUGGUCCUCGGUGAAUUGGGAUGGUUGGUUACCCUAUUACUGAUGAUUGUAAUUCUCAGCGUAGUUUGGAACCAGCAGCAGCAGCAGCUCCCCA